rnacentral:lncRNA from 1 species
AUUUAUUGAAAACUUAAGUCAGACUGGCUAAGAGCUUCACUUGCAUUACCUCAGUUAAUCCCCUCAAGAUCCGGAAGUGAGGAGGUAUGGGAAGCUAAGUAGCCCUACUCUAUAGAUAGGCCAACUGAGGCAACUAAGGGUUUCCUUAGGUUAGGGAGGUGGACACUGCAAAGUCUUGACGGGGGCAUUCUGCCUUCUGUGCAGGGAUUUCACUCUGGUAGUUUCUGGAGGAAGACCUGAAUGGAAGAGGGCUCACAUUUUAUGCUGUCCAAGAGGGGAAACCUAAGACCCCCAAAGAAGUCUGAGGCCCCCAAACUCAAUGCCAGUUGAGACAAGAGAAAAUACUUCACGUGUAUGAAAACAUACAUCACACUGUCCUGAGGCCUCAAGGGUUUUGAUUGGCUAAAAAGGAAGACAUUUGAAAAACUAGAGUUGCUACUGAGGAGCCUGUCUUCAGGAACAGUUGCUCAAAGUUUAUAGGAAAUGGAAGACAGCACAGAGAAAUUCAGAAGGUUAAAUAACUCUUAAUUACUAUCCCCCUAGGUGAUCACAAGGCGAAGCACUUAUGGAACCCUUUUCUGUGAUAGAAUACUUAAACAGACUUAGCAGCUCACUCCUACCACUUUCAUGAUGCUCAAGGAUGCUAAACUUUCCAUUAAAAUGUCACAAAACAAGAAAUUCCAUUCCCACCCCACCCCAAUACAUAAAUUGGGGAAUAGAGAAUUCAGGUUCUGAUGACCUCACCACCAGCGGUUGCCUGGGAUGGGGGUGGGGAAUCCAUGGAUAAAACCUCUGAGAGUUUUUUGAACAACGUAUGCCAAGGACAAUCUGGUAGGGUCUGUGGUGAUGGUACAUUGGUUGAAGAAGAUGACUUCCUGGAGAGAGGAACAUGGCUCUUUGGUGAGCACAUAUGGAAUCCUUCAAUUAUAUCCUGACGUCAAACCCCAAAGCAGCUAGACAGUGGCUGAGCCAAGAUUAGAAAUGGAGUGUUCUCUGCCCUGGUCCAGGACCCUCUCCGUGACUUCUCUGAAUUCAUU